rnacentral:tRNA from 1 species
UGUAGCUCAGCUGGUAGAGUGCCUGUCUAGCAUGCAGCAAGCCCUGGGUUCAAUCUCCAGCA